UCGGUUCCUGUUUGAUGUAAAACUGUCCUGAAGGUCAUUGUAUAGUUGUAUGUGUAGUUGCUAGGCAACAGCCUGUUUAUGUACAUCUCCAGGGGUGCAUCACUUACAGACUGUAUGCUACCACAGCCAUGCAUUUCAGUGGAUUACAGUGCUUACUCACUGUGGGUCCAACAGGAAGUCCCUGUGGUUUCCAUAGAAACCACAGGGCACCUGCUACACCAACAAGUCGUCGGUAUUUAGGCUAAGGUUAGCCUCGUCCCCUCUUUCAUUAACACCACACUACACACACACACACACUUACACAAACACCAUAUCCCUGCUGAAGUGCCGCCAGUGCUUUGCCAGACCAGAAGCUGAACAAGGUGUGCCAGAGAAUGGGCUGCAACUCAAGCCGUGGGGCCCAGGCUGUGGACCCGGCCAAGAAGCCCGAGGAGAGGCCGAGCUCAGCCAACUCGAGCAAGGAGGACUCGACCCCGGAUGACUCGGAGCCAACAGUAGUUGAAGCAGCCAAGGAGGAUGCUGGGGAGGAAUCUAGUUGACCGGACGUUAGCCAGUGGCCUGGGCUGGCCCACAGCCCACAGUUUCUAUGCAGGUUGCCCUGAGUGAUGUUGAUGUGGUGACACUGCGGAAGAAACAAGUGUGACUGGUCGUCUAUUGUCGGCUUCCUUUUCAGAAGGGUGCAGCAAAACCACCUCAACAAUGGGCAUUUAGCCAUUGGUUAAAAAUUAGACAGCCAGUAGGCCUGUGUAUAUUAUAAUUCCUUUAAUAUGUCACCACUGUAAGAAUCAUACUGUAGAAAUGUCCCAAAAACGUCUUCAGUGACAGCCAUGCAAUGUUAAGCCUUUUUCAGAAUAGUUACUUGAGUAAUGUACAGGUUCAUCUGUUUUUUAUAUAAGAAAUUAAAUGCUGUUAUUAAAACACAA